rnacentral:rRNA from 1 species
GACGAACGCUGGCGGCGUGCCUAAUACAUGCAAGUCGAACGAAGCUGUUUUAACUGGUGCUUGCACCGACUUAAACAACUGAGUGGCGAACGGGUGAGUAACACGUGGGUAACCUGCCCCAAAGCGGGGGAUAACAUUUGGAAACAGAUGCUAAUACCGCAUAACCACAGAAACCACAUGGUUUCUGUGUCAAAGAUGGUUUCGGCUAUCACUUUGGGAUGGACCCGCGGCGUAUUAGCUAGUUGGUAAGGUAAUGGCUUACCAAGGCAAUGAUACGUAGCCGAACUGGAAGGUUGAUCGGCCACAGUGGGACUGAGACACGGCCCAAACUCCUACGGGAGGCAGCAGUAGGGAAUCUUCCACAAUGGACGAAAGUCUGAUGGAGCAACGCCGCGUGAGUGAAGAAGGUUUUCGGAUCGUAAAACUCUGUUGUCAGAGAAGAACGUGUGCGAGAGUAACUGUUCGUGCAGUGACAGUAUCUGGCCAGAAAGCCACGGCUAACUACGUGCCAGCCGCCGCCGUAA